AUGGCCGCCGCCGCCCGCCGCGCCCUGCUCCUCCUCCUCGCCGCCGCCGCCGUGGCCCUCCUCGCGGCGCCCCCGGCGGCCGCCGCCCGCCCCUGCGGCCGCGCGCAGACGCUGCUCAUCUCCUUCUCCUCCUUCUCCCGCCCCAACCCGGACCCCGCCGACCCGUCGCCGCUCACCACCACCGUCGUCACCGUCCUCCGCGUCCGCCGCCUCGGCCCGCACCGCUUCCACGCCCACGACCAGAACCGCCUCCAGAUCCGCCGCCCCGCCGAGCCCCUCCCCGCCGUUGGCACCCCCGAGCGCGACGCCGACGCCGACGCCGCCUCCUCCUUCCAGGAGCGCGCCAAGGACAUCCUCGUCGUCGUCUCGGGCCUGCUCUUCGGCUUCGGCUGCGGCGCCCUCACCGCCGCCUCCAUGUACCUCGUCUGGUCCCUCGUCGCCUCCACCGGCGCCGCCGGCCCCUACGAGGAGCUCUACAGCGACGACGACGACGAGGACAACGUCUCCGACGACGGCGCCGAGAGCCCCAAGAAGGCCGGCUACGUCAUCAUCCACGGCGCCGAGGACGUCGCCGCCGCCGCCGGUAAGAACUAA
rnacentral:rRNA from 1 species